CCUACGGGAGGCAGCAGUGAGGAAUAUUGGUCAAUGGGCGAGAGCCUGAACCAGCCAAGUCGCGUGAGGGAGUACUGCCCUAUGGGUUGUAAACCUCUUUUGUCGGGGAGCAAAAUCCGGACGUGUCCGGCUUUGAGAGUACCCGAAGAAAAAGCAUCGGCUAACUCCGUUCCAGCAUCCGCGGUAAUACGGAGGAUGCGAGCGUUAUCCGGAUUUAUUGGGUUUAAAGGGUGCGCAGGCGGAUUUUUAAGUCAGCGGUAAAAGCGUGGGGCGCAACCCCAGCCAGCCGGUGAAACUGGGGAUCUAGAGUGUGCGAGAGGUAUGCGGAAUGCGUGGUGUAGCGGUGAAAUGCAUAGAUAUCACGCAGAACCCCGAUUGCGAAGGCAGCAUACCGGUGCACAACUGACGCUCAGGCACGAAAGCGUGGGUAUCGAACAGGAUUAGAUACCCUUGUAGUC
rnacentral:rRNA from 1 species